GUUCUGUUCCAAACUCUGUUUUGUUUGUUUUAUCUUUUCCCUUUUUAAGGUUUUUACAUAGAGUGAGGGGAACUUUGGAGGGUGAUGGAGCAUAUUCUCUGGGUGGAGUAAAAGUGGGGACGAAGGAGCUUUUCCGUCAGAGGAUUGUUUGAAGACUGUCCCAUGGGGAUAUAAUGUUCUUCAGGAGACAGCUGAUCACCACGCAGAAGUGGACACCAACUUCCCAAGAGACCAGAUAUUCUUCCUAUAAAAUGACCCUAACUGCAGACAGGACUCCUCCUAUUCUUGUUAACGCUGCAGGGAGCCAGGUCCUGCAGGCAGUGGGAGCCAGGGCUGCUCCUGUUACACCAGGAAGCCUUGCCAGCUGUGUGCCUCUGACCGACCAUCCCUGCGAGAGGA
rnacentral:lncRNA from 1 species